rnacentral:rRNA from 1 species
GAUUAAGUUAUUAAGGGCGCACGGUGGAUGCCUUGGCACUAGAAGCCGAUGAAGGACGUUACUAACGACGAUAUGCUUUGGGGAGCUGUAAGUAAGCUUUGAUCCAGAGAUUUCCGAAUGGGGAAACCCAGCAUGAGUUAUGUCAUGUUAUCGAUAUGUGAAUACAUAGCAUAUCAGAAGGCACACCCGGAGAACUGAAACAUCUUAGUACCCGGAGGAAGAGAAAGAAAAUUCGAUUCCCUUAGUAGCGGCGAGCGAAACGGGAAGAGCCCAAACCAACAAGCUUGCUUGUUGGGGUUGUAGGACACUCUAUACGGAGUUACAAAGGACGACAUUAGACGAAUCAUCUGGAAAGAUGAAUCAAAGAAGGUAAUAAUCCUGUAGUCGAAAAUGUUGUCUCUCUUGAGUGGAUCCUGAGUACGACGGAGCACGUGAAAUUCCGUCGGAAUCUGGGAGGACCAUCUCCUAAGGCUAAAUACUCUCUAGUGACCGAUAGUGAACCAGUACCGUGAGGGAAAGGUGAAAAGCACCCCGGAAGGGGAGUGAAAUAGAACCUGAAACCGUGUGCUUACAAGUAGUCAGAGCCCGUUAAUGGGUGAUGGCGUGCCUUUUGUAGAAUGAACCGGCGAGUUACGAUUUGAUGCAAGGUUAAGCAGUAAAUGUGGAGCCGUAGCGAAAGCGAGUCUGAAUAGGGCGUUUAGUAUUUGGUCGUAGACCCGAAACCAGGUGAUCUACCCUUGGUCAGGUUGAAGUUCAGGUAACACUGAAUGGAGGACCGAACCGACUUACGUUGAAAAGUGAGCGGAUGAACUGAGGGUAGCGGAGAAAUUCCAAUCGAACCUGGAGAUAGCUGGUUCUCUCCGAAAUAGCUUUAGGGCUAGCCUCAAGUGAUGAUUAUUGGAGGUAGAGCACUGUUUGGACGAGGGGCCCCUCUCGGGUUACCGAAUUCAGACAAACUCCGAAUGCCAAUUAAUUUAACUUGGGAGUCAGAACAUGGGUGAUAAGGUCCGUGUUCGAAAGGGAAACAGCCCAGACCACCAGCUAAGGUCCCAAAAUAUAUGUUAAGUGGAAAAGGAUGUGGCGUUGCCCAGACAACUAGGAUGUUGGCUUAGAAGCAGCCAUCAUUUAAAGAGUGCGUAAUAGCUCACUAGUCGAGUGACACUGCGCCGAAAAUGUACCGGGGCUAAACAUAUUACCGAAGCUGUGGAUUGUCCUUUGGACAAUGGUAGGAGAGCGUUCUAAGGGCGUUGAAGCAUGAUCGUAAGGACAUGUGGAGCGCUUAGAAGUGAGAAUGCCGGUGUGAGUAGCGAAAGACGGGUGAGAAUCCCGUCCACCGAUUGACUAAGGUUUCCAGAGGAAGGCUCGUCCGCUCUGGGUUAGUCGGGUCCUAAGCUGAGGCCGACAGGCGUAGGCGAUGGAUAACAGGUUGAUAUUCCUGUACCACCUAUAAUCGUUUUAAUCGAUGGGGGGACGCAGUAGGAUAGGCGAAGCGUGCGAUUGGAUU